rnacentral:misc_RNA from 1 species
AGAAUCUUUAGGUCCGUGACACUAUACUAAAGCAUGAGCCAAGGCAAAUCUAGUCUAUAUACUGCAUGUGAACUUUCUUAAAAUAUGUGAUUCCAAUAGUACUUAGGGAUUACAAGUCUAAAACAUUUUGUGUUUUUUUUAUCCUCUUAGUAAAUUUACGUUUUUAAUGUUAUUUAAAGGAUAAUAUGAAUUCUCAUACAAGCAACUUUUUCAAAAAGAGCUAACCCCAAGU